CCUACGGGUGGCAGCAGUGGGGAAUAUUGCACAAUGGGCGCAAGCCUGAUGCAGCCAUGCCGCGUGUGUGAAGAAGGCCUUCGGGUUGUAAAGCACCUUCAGCGGGGAGGAAGGCGGUGAGGUUAAUAACCUCAUCGAUUGACGUUACCCGCAGAAGAAGCACCGGCUAACUCCGUGCCAGCAGCCGCGGUAAUACGGAGGGUGCAAGCGUUAAUCGGAAUUACUGGGCGUAAAGCGCACGCAGGCGGUCUGUCAAGUCGGAUGUGAAAUCCCCGGGCUCAACCUGGGAACUGCAUUCGAAACUGGCAGGCUAGAGUCUUGUAGAGGGGGGUAGAAUUCCAGGUGUAGCGGUGAAAUGCGUAGAGAUCUGGAGGAAUACCGGUGGCGAAGGCGGCCCCCUGGACAAAGACUGACGCUCAGGUGCGAAAGCGUGGGGAGCAAACAGGAUUAGAUACCCGGGUAGUC
rnacentral:rRNA from 1 species